rnacentral:rRNA from 1 species
UACGUAGGGUGCGAGCGUUAAUCGGAAUUACUGGGCGUAGAGCGUGCGCAGGCGGUUUGCUAAGACAGGUGUGAAAUCCCCGGGCUUAACCUGGGAACUGCGCUUGUAACUGGCAAGCUAGAGUGUGGCAGAGGGGGGUGGAAUUCCACGUGUAGCAGUGAAAUGCGUAGAGAUGUGGAGGAACACCGAUGGCGAAGGCAGCCCCCUGGGCUAACACUGACGCUCAUGCACGAAAGCGUGGGGAGCAAACAGG